rnacentral:rRNA from 1 species
AGACGGGGGCCCGCACAAGCGGCGGAGCAUGCGGAUUAAUUCGAAGCAACGCGAAGAACCUUACCAGGUCUUGACAUCCCGAUGCUAUUUCUAGAGAUAGAAAGUUACUUCGGUACAUCGGUGACAGGUGGUGCAUGGUUGUCGUCAGCUCGUGUCGUGAGAUGUUGGGUUAAGUCCCGCAACGAGCGCAACCCCUAUUGUUAGUUGCCAUCAUUCAGUUGGGCACUCUAGCGAGACUGCCGGUAAUAAACCGGAGGAAGGUGGGGAUGACGUCAAAUCAUCAUGCCCCUUAUGACCUGGGCUACACACGUGCUACAAUGGUUGGUACAACGAGUUGCGAGUCGGUGACGGCGAGCUAAUCUCUUAAAGCCAAUCUCAGUUCGGAUUGUAGGCUGCAACUCGCCUACAUGAAGUCGGAAUCGCUAGUAAUCGCGGAUCAGCACGCCGCGGUCGAAUACGUUCCCGGGCCUU